AUACCAAAUGUUGCUAUUGAUAAGCCAAAAUUAAGCAUGCACGAGUAGUUAGUAUACAGUGUUUUGAAAGAAUGGAAAAACAAACACACAACCAUUCGGCUUCUCUCCUCUUUCUCUAUCCUUUGACUCUUUUUAAAUUUCAGAUCCGUGCUGCUCCGUCGUCCAGUGGUCUCUUGGCUGGCGCCGGAGGCGUUCUUUUCUUCUCUUUCUCUUUUGCAUAUCUCCCUUUACUUCCUCUCUCCCGAUAUGUUUUCAUCUCUGGCGGGUCUGUCUCGGGUUAUAUCCGCUCGAGAGGUUUUGUGUCGCUGGCAUUGUUCUUCUUUGGAGCGGCGACGAUGGUCCGUAGGCGUUGAGGUGGAAAUGUGUCGACUUUUUAGAGUUUCAGAGGUUGUAUUUUGUAGAUCUGGCGAGUUUUUUGCCUCUGCAAUCCUCUGAGAAAGCAUCAAAUGGUACAGGAGAGUCGAUAUGGCUCAGAUUCGGUGGUGACCAGUGGUUUAAGGUUUUUCUCCGACUUUUUUGGUGAAGAUCCUAGUUCGUUGUCUAGAUCUCGGUUUUGGUGGUGUUGGGUUCGCUGGUUGAGUCUGUUCCAAGGUGUCUUGGCGCAGCAGCCAUCUUUUCCACAUCCUCAGUGUUCCGGAGGGUCUCUUUACCUUGGAGAUGCUUAUAGUGUUGGGUUUUUUCUGUUGUGUGACGGUAUCUUGUCUCUGGUCUUGCGCGCGAACGUCACAUAGUUCUCGUUUAAGUAGUCGUCUAUGGCUGGUGUCUAUACAGUUCAUCCGUCCUUCCUUGCUGCUUCUCUUUUCUGCAGGGUUUUGUCAGUCAAUCCUCUCAGCAACAAAAGCGUUUUUUUCUUCUUAGAAUUUAGCUCUGUUUUUCAUCGGUUUUCUCUCUGAUUGUCACUAGAGCGUUAUCAAACCAGGCUCAAGGUUUCGGUCCUUUGGUUUGCAAGAGCGAUUGGUGAGUCGAGGUUUUCUACGGCUUCUAGGUGCUCAACGUGACUCCAUCCGUGGGGUGUGGCAUAUCCCUUCCGACAUUUGGUCUCUUGAUCUUUUUAGUAGUGUCCCCUUUUUCCAUUUGUGCAUGUUAUUAGCUAUUUUGGUCUACGGUGCAGAGGCGAUCUGGAACCCAACUUCUUGCAUUCUCGGCGGGAGAGGCGGUUGUAUGGCUGGUUUCAGGAUAAUUUUGUGCUAAUCUGGAGGCAACAUAGCAAGACUUUUGCAUCUGAGGAAACAAGAUGAAUCUUUUCUUUAUAUGGUCAUCAUCGAGGGUUGAAAAUGCCAAACGAUUUUCGAAGAUUAUGAAUCCGAUAUAACGGAAGGGUUCAGGGAUAUAGGUCGAACGAAGCUAGUUCGGAAUAGUUUUGAUUUGGAAAUUCUUCGAGUCAAAAGCAUAUAAUCGAAAAGUUUAUUCCCAUU